rnacentral:rRNA from 1 species
UACGGAGGGAGCUAGCGUUGUUCGGAAUUACUGGGCGUAAAGCGCGCGUAGGCGGCUUUGUAAGUUAGAGGUGAAAGCCCGGGGCUCAACCCCGGAACUGCCUUUAAGACUGCAUCGCUUGAAUCCAGGAGAGGUGAGUGGAAUUCCGAGUGUAGAGGUGAAAUUCGUAGAUAUUCGGAAGAAACACCAGUGGCGAAGGGCGGCUCACUGGACUGGUAUUGACGCUGAUGGUGCGAAAGCGUGGGGAGCAAACAGGG